GCGGACGGGGCUGAGGUGACGCCCGGAGGCCGGUCGGGCUGCCCGUGCCGGGACCGGAGCUUCUGUCGUACCGGCAAUGCUCGGUCUCGUCGUUCUUACCUGUGCACUUGACUAGCGAUCCAGAUGGAAUUGCAUGACUGUGAUCGGCGCGGCUUUCGCAGUAAAGGGAAGCCCAUAAACGCGGUGAAUGUCACGGUCUCUUCUGCGGCCGUUCACCGAGGGCCGGCGUGAGGAGGGGCUGCCUGCGCUGUGGAAGCCUCUCAGUCCCGGUCGCGGGACAGCGGAGCGCAGGCGGAACCAGCUUCUCCUGGGGAGGAGGGUGCCUGGGGUAAGAGGCUCAGAGACCAUCCUGACAUCACUGCAACCAUGAUUUCACCAGGAUAAUGUACUGGAAGGUUAUUGUCAUAUUACUCCUGGAAAGAGGCCUGAACAGAUGGUGGGCCACUCCCAGUCCAAGGCCUGACUUCCACAGUGCUUCGUGGCUUUGGCCAAAUGGCAGUUGUGGAAUCUGUGCACAUGAAGCCUCUCAAGGAGACCAUGCCUUGUAUUGCAGAUCAGUUACACGAUUCUGAGAUGGUAUAAUGAUGCAGCCUCAAG
rnacentral:lncRNA from 1 species